ACAACCUCCCCUCCAUUGUGACAUUUCCGUUGUGAGGCUGUGUCGCCGCUGCGCGUCAUCACGUGUCGAUGGAGGCAUCGCAAUGCAACAGCCAAGUAUCGGAUCCGGCCUUCUUCAGCUCUCUGUUGUCUCCAUCAGCUCCCCUGGGGGCACUGUGACAUUUCCGCUGUGAGACUGUGUCGCCGCUGCGCGUCAUCACGUGUCGAUGGAGGCAUCGCAAUGCAACA
rnacentral:lncRNA from 1 species